AAGCCGCACCACAUACGGUGGAGCAUUUCGUUCCUCUAAGAUGAGACCAUUCCAUCAAAUCGAGUUGAAAGGGGAGGAUGAUUCAUCUAAAACGGGCAAUCACCAGAAAUCUGCACAAGAUUUUGCUGACUUCAAUGAGUAUAUCACAGGGUUUUAUUUUCCUUUAGUUUUCGAUCUUGUCAAUCUUUGUAUCUACGAAGCAUAACAAAGGUGAAAUCUAAUAGAAUCGAGACCUGCUAAUGAUCGAGAAAGACUUUGUUUUUAUUUUUGGGAUUGGAAGGAUGGAUUUAUCACACCACUAAUUCAUUGAAAGAAGGAAAAUACACGACAAGAACAGUACCAAAAGAAAAAAGAAGAAGAAGAAGAGGCGCUCAUGAUCAGAGUAUACAA